CUGUUGUAUUGUAGCUAUUCAAUAACCUAUGCUUCAGUGGACUGAUGUAGAAUCUUUCAAUUUAUUCUAGGAAAACUUCGUACCCAUACUGAAUUGUAUAGCCUAUCUGUAUAACUGAAUGAAUGAAAGAAAUGAGGAAUAACACUCAAAAACUUGUUAAGCCUUUAUUAACAAACGGAUGUAUACAUAAAGGAACACCUAUAGUGUCUUAAUUAAGCCAACAUUACUGCAACAACAGAAACGCCCUCCACCGCGCGUAUAGGUUUUGUGCCGAAUUCUGCACCAUUGCCAGAUUAUGCAUCCCCUCGUUGAAGUCGCUACCUGAUAGCCUAAACCAAACCCCACCCCUUUUACUUGCCCCUCCCCCACCUACUCCUAAACCUAUCAAUGCUAGUGGGUGAAUAAUCUGACAGGGGUACAGAAUUCGGCACAUCGGCACUGAGUUUACCAAGCCCCUUCACAACAGACCAGCGCACUGUCCGCUUCAGCUCUUCUGGCGCUUUAUUACGAAACGUCCAGCGUUUAUUACGACAGCGUUUAUUAGCCUAUGCUUUGUUUUGCGUUUUGUUUGUGUUUAAAUGUAGCCUUUACAAAAUAGGAACUGUUGUUAUUUGAAACCGUUCGGCGAAAUGCCUAAAUAUAGCAUGUUUUUUUUCUGUUUGAAUGUAUGGAGUCUGAGUGGUGUGUUUGGUGUUGAUUCAGUGAAGUCAGUGUCAGUGACGGAGGGAGAAUCAGUAAGUCUAAAUCUUACUGAAAUACAGAGAGACGAUGAGAUAGCGUGGAAAUUUGAAAACAUUAUGAUAGCUAAAAUCUACAGGAAGGACAAUACGAGCAGGUUUUAUGAGGAUAGUGCUGAUGGGAGAUUCAGAGACAGACUGAAGCUGGAUCAGACUGGAUCUCUGAUCAUCACAAACACCAGAACCACAGACUCUGGAGAAUAUAAAGUCACCGGCAAAAGCUCAGGGAUCCCACUCAACAUCUUCAGUCUUACUGUCUAUGUUCCUGUGCCUGUUCCUGUCAUCACCAGAGACUCUUCACAAAAUUCAUCAUCAUCCUCCUCAUCAUCAUGUUCAUUCCUGUGUUCAGUGUUGAAUGUGGGUCAUGUGACUCUCUCCUGGUACAAAGGAAACAGUUUAUUGUCCAGCAUCAGUGUGUCUGAUCUCAGCAGAAGUCUUUCUUUACAUCUGGAGUGUCUGGAUGAUUUCUACAGCUGUGUGGUGAACAAUCCCAUCAGAAACCAGACUCAACAUCUCAACAACACUGAACUCUGUCAGACAUGUUCAGACUCUGUAUCUCUGAUAGUGUUGAUCUCUGCUGCUGCUGCUGGUUUUCUGUUGAUUGUAGCUACAGUUGGGAUCUUCUGCAUCUGCAGGAAGCAGAAAAACAGAUCAAGAAGUUCAGACCCAUGAUAGAGAGAUCACUUCUGCUGAUUCAACAUUUUACAAAAGACAUAAAUCUGGUCACACAAGUCCAUCAGAGGCAUUACAAUAUUGCCACAUCGCAAACUCUAACAUGUCAUCCAAGACACAUCUAUUCCCUCCAAAAUGGGAAAUUAUAUUAUAGGCAAAUUAUAGGCAAGAAAGAGAGAAAUACUGAAAUAUUCCCUCCAUAUGUAACACAAUCUCAUGGCAGUUCAUAAGUAAAUUAUGUUCUGGUGAAUUGGUUGGUAAUUUGUAUAUAUUUGUAAAAUCACAUUUUUCUGCUUUCACCCCAUAAUGAGAAUGUUUACACAUGGACCUUCAUGCUCACGUUUCUGUAAUAAUGAGAGCUACAGAGCAGGAUAAUGUGGUGUACGCAGGAGUCUCAAGACGUUGAUCAAGUCUUGAUCAAAAUGUGAUUCUGUUUUUGGAUUACUAACUUUAUCCCAAACACAGAGACAGGAGACAGAAUCCCAUGUUCUUUGUGAAUACAGAUAUAUGCCUAUUAAAUGUUAUAUUCUUAUAGUUACACACACAUUUGAAAAA